UACGGAGGGAGCAAACGUUGUUCGGAUUUACUGGGCGUAAAGGGUGUGUAGGCGGUCUUGCAAGUCAGGGGUGAAAUCUCUCGGCUCAACCGGGAAACUGCCUUUGAGACUGCAGGACUUGAGGGCGUGAGAGGAGACUGGAAUUCCUAGUGUAGCGGUGAAAUGCAUAGAUAUUAGGAGGAACACCAGUGGCGAAGGCGAGUCUCUGGCACGCAUCUGACGCUGAGACACGAAAGCCAGGGGAGCGAACGGG
rnacentral:rRNA from 1 species